AUUGAACGCUGGCGGCAGGCUUAACACAUGCAAGUCGAACGGUAACAUGAAGAAGCUUGCUUCUUUGAUGACGAGUGGCGGACGGGUGAGUAAUGCUUGGGAAUCUAGCUUAUGGAGGGGGAUAACUACGGGAAACUGUAGCUAAUACCGCGUAGAAUCGAGAGAUGAAAGUGUGGGACCUUCGGGCCACAUGCCAUAGGAUGAGCCCAAGUGGGAUUAGGUAGUUGGUGAGGUAAAGGCUCACCAAGCCGACGAUCUCUAGCUGGUCUGAGAGGAUGACCAGCCACACUGGGACUGAGACACGGCCCAGACUCCUACGGGAGGCAGCAGUGGGGAAUAUUGCGCAAUGGGGGCAACCCUGACGCAGCCAUGCCGCGUGAAUGAAGAAGGCCUUCGGGUUGUAAAGUUCUUUCGGUAGCGAGGAAGGCAUUUAGUUUAAUAGACUAAGUGAUUGACGUAA
rnacentral:rRNA from 1 species